UUCUUUAAUCAAAGUAAAAGACAAAUUCAGUAAGGCCCCAAUAGAAAAUGGGAGUGUAGGCCCACCGAGUGUGGUGAAAGGCCAAAGGUUCGUUCGGGUGAAACAGAAUGAAGAGAAGGAGAUUGGAAAAUGAAGAAGCUCCGAAAUGAAGAAAGAAGGAUGGUUGCUACGGCUCAAAUACGGUGUAACUUCUGGUUCAGCUUCAAAAUUAAGAGUUGGUUAAUUGUACAGAAUAGCUUAGCAACUAUGAAGUUCUGACACGCCAUUCACACGGCGUGUCGCUGUGUCGGACACGUGUCAGACACACCGGCACGCGUAUGACACACGUACGACACACGUACGACACGUAUCAGAAACGUUUUUGAAAUGUCCAACUAAAAUAAAAAAUUUAAUUGUUACGGACACGGAUACGACACCUUAUUUCCCUUAUAUUAUGAUUAUUUUGAAUUUACGUUUUUUCUUUUUGAUAA